rnacentral:rRNA from 1 species
CCUACGGGGGGCAGCAGUGGGGAAUAUUGCACAAUGGGCGAAAGCCUGAUGCAGCAACGCCGCGUGAAGGAAGACGGUUUUCGGAUUGUAAACUUCUAUCAAUAGGGAAGAAAGAAAUGACGGUACCUAAAUAAGAAGCCCCGGCUAACUACGUGCCAGCAGCCGCGGUAAUACGUAGGGGGCAAGCGUUAUCCGGAAUUACUGGGUGUAAAGGGAGCGUAGACGGCAGGGCAAGUCUGGAGUGAAAGCCCGGGGCCCAACCCCGGGACUGCUUUGGAAACUGCCAUGCUGGAGUGCUGGAGAGG